UUGGGGUUAAAACAUGAAAAAUUGGGGUUAAAAUGUGAAAAAACCCAGGAAAUUUGCCCAAAUUUUCACGUAAAUGGUGAAAUUUUUGUUGGUGGGCGUGUCCCUCCUUGACCACGCCCCCUUUUUUUUUGUCCCCUCCCCCCAGACCCCUCCCCCGACAACGGUCGGUUCCGGGAGCUGUCGUGGCGGGUGGGGGUGGGCACCGUCCUGCACGGAUUCGCCGGAUACUUCGAGACCACCCUCUACCGUGACGUCACCCUCAGUAUCCGUCCCGAGAGUCACAGCCCGGGGCUCUUUUCCUGGUUCCCCAUCUUCUUCCCCAUCAAGCAACCCCUGGCGGUGCGGGCGGGCGAGACGGUGUCGGUGGCGUUCUGGCGCGUGGCCACGCCCCACAAGGUGUGGUACGAGUGGGCGGUGACCGAGCCCGCCUGCUCCGCCCUCCACAACCCCAACGGCCGCUCCUACACCAUCGGCCUCUGAGGACACGCCCACCACGGGGGGGAGGCCACGCCCACCAGAGGGAGGCCACGCCCACCAGAGGGAGGCCACGCCCACCACGAGGGAGGCCACACCCCCUUUGUGGAAGCCACGCCCGUUUUAUGUUGGAAACACCCCUAUUAUUUUGUUGGCCACGCCCACCCAAGGCCACCCCCACCACGAGGAAAGGCCACGCCCACUUUGUGGAAGCCACGCCCAUUUUAUGUUCGAAACACCCCUACCAUGACAGAGGCCACGCCCACCCAGAGGGAGGCCACACCCACUUUGUGGAAGCCACGCCCAUUUUAUGUUGGAAACACCCCUAUUAUUAUGUUGGCCACACCCACCCGAGGCCACGCCCACUUUGUGGAGGCCACACCCACCACGAUGGAGGCCACACCCACUUUGUGGAAGCCACACCCAUUUUAUGUUGGAAACACCCCUACCAUGAUGGAGGCCACGCCCACUCGAGGCCACACCCACCAUGAGGGAGACCACAUCCACUUUGUGGAAGCCACGCCCAUUUUAUGUUGGAAACACCCCUACCAUGAUGGAGGCCACGCCCACCCAAGGCCACACCCACUUUGUGGAAGCCACGCCCACUUUGUGGAAGCCACACCCACUUUGUGAAAGCCACGCCCAUUUUAUGUUGGAAACACCCCUACUAUGAUGGAGGCCACACCCACUUUGUGGAAGCCACGCCCAUUUUAUGUUGGAAACACCCCUACUAUGAUGGAAGCCACGCCCACCCAAUGCCACACCCACCAUGGUGGAGGCCACACCUGCUUUGUGAAAGCCACACCCAUUUUAUGUUAGAAAAACACCCCUAUUAUGUUGGCCACGCCCACCCGAGGCCACGCCCACUUUGUGGAAGCCACACCCACUUUGUGGGAGCCACACCCAUUUUGUGUUGGAAACACCCUUGUUGUGAUGGAGGCCACGCCCACUUCUCGAUGGAGGCCACGCCCACUUUGUGGAAGCCACGCCCAUUUUAUGUUGGAAACACCCCUACCCUGAUGGAGGCCCCGCCCACUUCUUGAUGGAGGCCACGCCCACCUCUUGAUGGAGGCCCCACCCACUUUUGGAUUGAGGCCACGCCCACUGGGUGGAGGCCACGCCCCCCCCAAUAAAAGGAAUGAUUGGAUUGGG